UGUCACUGCAUAAAGAUAGAUCCAAUAUUAUUUCAUGAACUUAAACAAUCCAAGUUUAGUUGAUAAAUCACCAAGUAUUAGAUGGAUGGUCAAGAUCGAUCUAUAUCCUACGAUAAACAAACAUCAAAAGAACACCGGAAGAGGGGGUUUCCGAGAGUCUACUCUGACGAUUAAGUCAAUAUUUGGGCGUGGAAGGAAGGACGGGAUGUAGAGGCGUGAGGAAUACGGUGGAAGGCACAACCUUUGCAGGUCCACAAGUGUAGCCAGGUCCCGGACCGAGCAGAGUGAAAUUCUUAGGCAGUUUCACAGUUUUAUUCGUGGUUCCGGCAAGUCCGACACUUACCUGAAAGGCUGAAACUGAAGCUGAAGGAUCCUGUCCCCAGGCUGCCACUACACCACCUUUACAACAAUUACUGAAUUGCUGAUUGUAAGGAACUCCAGGGAGCAAAUCAACAACUGUCGGAGUUUUCUUGCAGCUAUGCGCCGCAGGAACAUGCUGGACAAGGCGUUAUCGUAGAAUUAUAGAAAGAUGACAUUGAUAGGCAGCAGGUUGGGUUUGGAGAAGCUAGCAUUU